rnacentral:rRNA from 1 species
GAUGAACGCUGGCGGCGUGCUUAACACAUGCAAGUCGAACGGUAAGGCCCUUCGGGGUACACGAGUGGCGAACGGGUGAGUAACACGUGGGUGAUCUGCCCUGCACUUCGGGAUAAGCCUGGGAAACUGGGUCUAAUACCGGAUAGGACCACUGCCUGCAUGGGUGGUGGUGGAAAGCUUUUGCGGUGUGGGAUGGGCCCACGGCCUAUCAGCUUGUUGGUGGGGUGAUGGCCUACCAAGGCGACGACGGGUAGCCGGCCUGAGAGGGUGACCGGCCACACUGGGACUGAGAUACGGCCCAGACUCCUACGGGAGGCAGCAGUGGGGAAUAUUGCACAAUGGGCGCAAGCCUGAUGCAGCGACGCCGCGUGAGGGAUGACGGCCUUCGGGUUGUAAACCUCUUUCAGCACCGACGAAGCGCAAGUGACGGUAGGUGCAGAAGAAGGACCGGCCAACUACGUGCCAGCAGCCGCCGUAA